rnacentral:rRNA from 1 species
GACAGAGGGUGCAAACGUUGUUCGGAAUUACUGGGCGUAAAGCGCGUGUAGGCGGCCCUGUAAGUCGGGUGUGAAAUCCCACGGCUCAACCGUGGAAGUGCAUUCGAAACUACAGGGCUAGAGUUCUGGAGAGGAAGGUGGAAUGCUUGGUGUAGAGGUGAAAUUCGUAGAUAUCAAGCGGAACACCGGUGGCGAAGGCGGCCUUCUGGACAGUAACUGACGCUGAGGAGCGAAAGCGUGGGGAGCGAACAGG